UACGUAGGGCGCAAGCGUUGUCCGGAAUUAUUGGGCGUAAAGAGCUCGUAGGCGGCCUGUUGCGUCCGCUGUGAAAGCCCGGGGCUUAACCCCGGGUCGGCAGUGGAUACGGGCAGGCUAGAGGUAGGUAGGGGAGAAUGGAAUUCCCGGUGUAGCGGUGAAAUGCGCAGAUAUCGGGAGGAGCACCGGUGGCGAAGGCGGUUCUCUGGGCCUUACCUGACGCUGAGGAGCGAAAGCGUGGGGAGCGAACAGG
rnacentral:rRNA from 1 species